CUCAACCAAUCACAAACUUCCGGGGAUGUCUUAAAGAGGGCACUCCAGAGUAUUUUAGUGACACACUGCUAAUUGAUGUGGGAGGGGGAAGAAAAAAAAAAAAAUUAAAAAAAAAAAUAAAUAAAUAAAUCAAUAAAUAAAUCAAUAAAAUCCAGACGUACCUCAUAUAUCGGAGGCCCCUUUUAUAAGAAUCCCGAUUUACAAGCAAACAUAUGUUCUCCCAAGCAAGAAUAGCACGGCGAAGUUACCUGUACUUAAAGUUAAAGUUAAAUUUCUGGAGAGGUUGAACUUUUCAGAGUAGUUUUUGGCAUCGUAACCGUGACCAAACUACCGACUGUCUCAUCAUGGUUAUUAUUUUAGCCGCCAAAAAAGAAGUUAAAGCCAACCUAAAACACGUUAAACUCACAUUUUUCCUUCUGAUUCUCGCCCCUGCCCAACAAUGAAGUGGACUGCAAAUGAAGGGAGGAGAAAACUGAACAGAGACCUGACUGGUCUCGCUACACACACUGCUGUACUUCUUUCCUGGAGAACCAUGGUGCCAGGCACGGCGGACAAGCCACCCGAAACCCUGCAGCUUAGGCUUAGCAGGCUACCCAAAAAGAAAACAAAACAGUCCUACAAGGGAGCAGAGCUUCGCCUCAGGAAAACUGCAGACAUGCCGCACACAGUCAUGAAUACGGCUCCACUCUGCCCCCGCUAAAAUCUCCGGUACUACACUGAUCUUAGCCAAAAGGCCAAGAAGCUCUCGGUCCGAGGACCCCAUUUCUUCCAGGACCUGCGCCUCAGGCUUUCUCCCAACACACUGGUAGACAGUCACCCCAUAAUUUUCCCCAGAAGUGCCCCCAGUGGUUGUAUAAACUACAAUAGCAGUUUUAUAUAUUUUACAACUACGUACAGAUGUUUUCCCCACAAAUGUUCCGUGUGAGAUUUAAAUUGCAAUCCCUUGACAUAUGACUACAUACAUUUACGCAACUCUGGUGUCUGUACUGCUGUGUGUAAAGGAAAAGAAAAAAAAAAAAAACUGAUGAAUAUCCAGCCAGGAGGGUUUUUCUUUCAUUUGCCAUGACUGUGUAUGUAGGUCCUACAGCAACUGGUCAGGAAGUACAUGACUAGUUCCUCGUGAUCUACUGAGUCUUAAGUGCCCAAGUGCUGUGUGCUGGUUUUGACCAUGCUCUCACCUUUUUACAUCCAGCAAUGUGUGGAGCUCUGUGCUAAAGUCUGGGAUAAAAAUGUUUAUCAAAAUAGGGUGUCUUUUUUUACACAUUGGAAUUAAGGCAAAAUCAAGAGGGGAAAACAAUUUUUAAUUUAUCAGUGCUUUGGGUAAUUGACUUGCAUGAGGAAGUACAAUUUUAUUGAAGCCAGUUUAAGCUUAUGUAGGUGCACUGCAGAUCAUGUGCAGUAAAUAAGGAGGAUCUAACAGGAUCUCUUCACAGUUUAGUGUAUUUUUGAUGGCAACUCUGGUAAAAUUACCAUAGCUUUUCAUUUAAACUGACAUCUAUUCAUUUAGCUGAUACUUUUCUCCAAAGGAACAUACAGUGGUAAGGUACUUACAAUUAUUUACCCAUUCAUACAGCUGGGUAAUUUUUACUGGAGUAAUUUACAGUAAGUACCUUGAUCAAGCAUGUACAGCUGAAGGUGUGGCUCAAUCCUGCAACCUUUAAGGGAACAGGCAAUAGCUGUAACCACUAUGCUACCAGCUGCCCCUGGUAGUGUUGUGAAAGGUGUGUGUGCCAUAAAUAUACAGAGCUGGACUGGCAGUUUGAUGGACAAGGAAAGCGUGUGUGUAUAUACUGUAUAUAUAUAGCUUUAAAAGGGUAUAUUUUGUACAGUAAUGCAGAGUCACAUUUCAAAGUGACGAUACAUGCUUUCAACAUAUCCCAGGACCCUCUGCCAGUCUGGGCCGGUGUUUCUCAGCAUCUCCUCCACAGUCUGGCCAAAACAGAGACACAGUUGACAGUUAAUACCAUGUACUUACCUGUAGUGUCAACAUUUAUACAUUUUGCUCAUUUAUUAGAUCACUUCACCAAAAGGAAUGUUGAAUGAUGAAACAGAAGUAUGUUGUGGACGUUUCAUGGGCUUGUUUUAUGGAAUCUACUAAAUCUAAUCACAGUUCCACCUGUUUGUCCCAAUCCCUCUGGACUGCUAACAGUGAAAUAGUGGCUGACGGUACCAGUGUCGCAGGGAUCCCAACACUCUCCCCUGUGUCGAAGGCUAGUUUCAGGUUCUCCUCCUGAGAUAAACAUUAAACAUAAUCCAGCUAUGACUAUGAUAAAGUGAGGAGUCACAAGCACCAACAUCACUUAGUAGGUCAUUUUUUUUUAAUGUGCAGUAUCUGUCAGUAUAUAAACUUAGACCUGUGUUCUCUGAUUUGGGCUCAAUCUGUCACAGUGACUGUUUUUUCAUCAUUUCUAUGCUGCCACCUGCUUUUACAUUGAGAGUGUUAAGUACAUUUUUCUCCUUAUGUCAGGCUUUAGUCUGACUGUCUAUACCCAUAUAAUAUUUACGCUGAAUUUAUGGAGUGUUUGAAAGUGAGAGUUCAGGCCUACCUUAUCAUCUGGAUUCAGGCUGCAGUAGGGGAUAUGUGAGGGAAGGUAGGUGUGGUACACUGCACAGAAAGCCAGGCCAUCUACCCAGCUGCUGCUGAAGUUGGUGAUGUCAAUGUUCUGCCAAAAAGACAGCACACAUUAGGUCAUUUAGUGUAUUAAACUCAGGCAAGUCUUGAUGUUUAAGUAUAUAAAAUUAAUCUGAUAUCAUGUCACAAUCUCAAGUAGCCAUUCCCUUUAAGAACACUUCUCAUGAGGCUCUAUUACAUCAAACAUUCCUGCUGAAAUUCUGUAAAUCUUAUGUACAGAAUAUACAGUAUAUGUCUGACCAGAGACAAGACUACUAAGCACUGAACAAAGAAUAACCCCCACAUCCCCUCUGCUACAGUCUUUAGUCCUCUCAGUGUCAUGCAGCAGCCUGCCCCCCUCACUGCAUAGCCCUGUGUGCGACUCUGACACCAGCGCAGAAGGGAGUUCCGUCUGGAGCCUCCAUGACGACGCAGCAGCAUACUGAACCCAUCUUGGGGUCUGGGGAAAGAUGAUGAGAGAAAAGGAAGGAAGGCAGAACUGUGAGAAUUACAGUAAAGCAGUGAGAAAUAUGAUGAUAAAUAUAUUUGAUAAAUGUCAUUUGUUUUGGACAAUCUACUGUUAGUAUUCUAUAAAAAGCAGUAAGUUCAGUUCUAGCUGUUAUUAGGACACAAGUCAAUUGUUUAAAUUGAACCAGAUCAUGUUUUUGCUCUUAUUCUGUGUAAUUCAGAAUGCUUCCACCCCAUCCAGCUGAUUUCUUUCAGUGACAGGUCCGGGCCACACAAUAGCAGUUCACCUGGUUUUACUGCUGGUCAUGGAGGACAGGUCUCCCAGCAAGGUGUGAUGGUUAAGAGAUGCUUCUUCCUCCUGUUUACCUUGCAUGUUUAAUAGACAACAUUGAUUUCAAAUCUAAUCAUUGCAAUGCACAUUAUGAUGUUAUACAAGAGACAGCGAUAGCAAAAAGUGUCAGUACAACUGGUCAAUCUUCUGUCCAGUCUGUCCCAUAAAUGCAUUGCCCAAGUUGACCAGUUGUACUCAAUCUAUGGGACAAACUGGAUCGAAGAGUGAAACCAGCUGCAACCCUCAAGUGUUCUACAUCUCUGGAAACUGCUGCAAAAGAGCUGGGAACACCUGUUAGCUCAUUUCCUGAUCAGCUUGUUAACUGCUAGCAAAUUGUACUGUAUAUGCGAAUAAACAUCUGAUUUCACAUGCA
rnacentral:lncRNA from 1 species